rnacentral:rRNA from 1 species
UACGAAGGGUGCAAGCGUUACUCGGAAUUACUGGGCGUAAAGCGUGCGUAGGUGGUGAGUUAAGUCUGUCGUGAAAGCCCCGGGCUCAACCUGGGAAUUGCAUUCGAGACUGAAUAGCUAGGGUACGGUAGAGGGAAGCGGAAUUUCCGGUGUAGCGGUGAAAUGCGUAGAUAUCGGAAGGAACAUCAGUGGCGAAAGCGGCUUCCUGGACCAGCACCGACGUUCAGGCACGAAAGCGUGGGGAGCAAACAGG